GAUGUCUUCCAGUACUGGUGCCAUCUUAAUGUCCGCAGGGCUCUGCUGUUUGAUUUGUCUCCACAGCUCUUUGUUACAAAACUUCAGUUUAACCUUGCUCUAGUUUCGAUGCACAGCUUUGCACAAGGCCAGUUUCAGAGCUAGUGCAUCAUCUAGGACUUUGUUUCCCAGGCUGAUCUCAUUCAUCAUCCACCCUGUCAUUCUAUUUCUUGCAUAUUCCUUAACUGUGACUCCUAUCCCAACAUUAUGCUGUCCUUUUUUCUUUGUUGUUUCUAUCUCCAUUAUCACAGCUCCCUCGUUUGUAUAGUUCUGAUCUUGCAAUUCUUGUCCAGGGACUGUUUCUUCUGUGCUCUUUCCAACUUUCGUGCCCUCUUCCUGCAGCUGUUCCAUCCAAUCCUUGUGUGCUCUUGCUAUUGUUUUGAAAGGUGUUACUGUAUCUGAUUUCUCAAAUUCCCUCUUAUUCCUUUCUUUCCACACCUGCCACAGGAUAUUAGCAGUUAAACCAAUAUGUUCCAACCCCUCUGGUCUAUGCCUUGCUUCUGAAAUCCUUAGCCACCAUCGCUUGAAAUUCCCUUGUUGAUCCUUUGCCCCAUCCCACUGAAUAGGAGCUGCCACUGCUCGUCCCUCCUGUUUUUAACUAAUCCGAUACUCUAUCCUGCUAUCCUCUUAAUUAGUUUAUCCCCUUGAGAAAUUUCCCUCUUCCCUUUCACCCCUCCUAAUCCAACUUAAACUCAAUCUCCAAACCACCUCCCAUGGAAUAUGUUAUAGCAAAAUUCAUAAUACUGGCUGUGAUGUUAUUUUUGUAGUGGUUUAUGAAUUUGACAUGGAGGUUAUGAACCCAUUCCUUGGCAGGCUACUUGGAUAGCAGAUCUGAGAUUGGAACAAAUUUAAUAGUUUCCCUCACUUAUAUGCAACUGGUUGCAGCCAUGGGAGCUAGAUGCCAAUGCAAGUGAUACAUGAUUUAAACAAUUAAGACUCACCAAGGGAUUAGGCACAUUCCAGUUUGAUUCCCUAUGAAGCUCUAUUGCAAAUAUGAUACAGGGAAGGGACUAAACACAUUGCAGGCCUUCCCUACUCAUGUUGCAGAGAAAAGAUCAUACUUGUAGACAAGGAGAGUGAUCCUUUAUCUUGCUGUGAAACAUGCUUCAAUUGUUUUGAUUUUUGGAAAUGCAAGGAUAGUUUCUUCCUUUCACAGUGCUCCUUUUUUUUUUUUUUGGGAACAAUUUUGCUCUUGUGAGCUGCAAAUGGAUCAACUAAGUCCGCAAGGAAGUUUGUUCCUUUCUUAUGAUUAAGUAUGUGACUACAAUACUGCUGCAACUUUUGUGCAGAAAUGAAACAUGCUUAACAUUUCAUAUUUUAGGAAGGCUGUCAUAGUAUCCUUUACCGGAUCUUGUAAGCUUGGUUCCAACUUUUGAGCUUCCAAGAAGGAGCAAAUUGAAGAUCACCUUAACUUCAAAGAGAAAGAACGCAAUAGAAAGGAUUUUGAACUGUGUUUGAAAUUUUUUGUUCAUAUGCAGGUGAGUAUCAACUAUCUCUCACGGAAAUUGGGAAAGUAAUUUUCUCAUAUUGUCGGAGUAGUGAAUCUUGGUGAUGGAUCUGUGCAAAUGGCUGAUGCUAUCUCAGAAUCGGAUUCUUUUAAGAUUCCAAAAUUAUCAGAUGGAAAGGAUGCAUCUGUCCAGGAAGUGUAUAUCUAAAGGGAAUAAAAGAUAACCUUCAUGUGCACAGUUCUUUGCAUAAUGGCUUGCUAGCGGCUCGCACUGAGAUAUUGAAGGCUGGUGAAGAGCCUAACAAUUCUUGCAUCUUGGCAACUUUGAUGGGUCUUAUAAAUAUGGAGGGAAAGAUUAUCCAUCAUCAGCUUCACCGUCUGGUUUCAGUUUGGAUGGAUGUAGGAAAGUAGCUCUUAAUGCUCUCCAACUAAAUGAAUGAACGUUCACUCACAUGAAGUGCACGUUUUGGUGGAUAUUCAAGUCCCUUGGUAGAUGAGUUCAGAAAAAGGAAAAUGGCUACUGAAGAAGACAAUACUUACUUCGAAGCUUGAUAGAAUGAAUGGAAGAGAAGAAUUACAACGGAAAGUCUUCAUUGUUUCAUGCAUUCAUUGAGAGGGUUUUGUGGUGGUACUAAAAAUCAUGUAAAAUAAUUCAUGAAAUCGGAUUCAUUGUAUUAAUUUCCUAAAGUUUGUCCAAGGACUAUAGCAUUUACUCGUUCUAUUUUAGAAUCCUCCUCAAUUUGUUCCUCAUAAGUAAGCUUGCAUUCUCAACAAAUCUGGGCACCCAUGUACGCGAGCGCACACAUUGUGUGAGCCAACAAGAAACUAGUUACUAAUAAAAUUAUUUCUGUACUUGAGAAUAAGUACCUUGAU